UUUGCACACUGUUAGAACUUGGAGAUGAGGUCAAUUCUGGCCUGUGAACUCUUGAGUGUAGGAAGUGUGCUAUAUAGACAUGGCAGGUUUCACACCAGUAGUAGCAUUUCUGCUUCGGUGACUGGAAUUUGAAGACAAUUGUCAUCUUGCCACAUUU